rnacentral:rRNA from 1 species
UUUCAUUUACGUUGAAAGGUUUUUUGUGUGAUUCAAAAUGUCCUGAUUAUUAAUAUAUAAUUUUUUUUUAUUGUUUAUUUUUAUUUUUAUUUAGAAUAUUUUGGUUUUUAUUAUUUUAGUAUCUUUUUUUGAAAUGAUUUUAGUUAUUAUAGUAUAUUUUUAAUGUAAGUGGAUUUUUUUAUUAUUAUAUAAGAAUUUUGUAUAUUUUACCUUUUGUAUCAGGGUUAAUUAAAUAAUUGUUUGCUAUUAAAUUUUCUCGAAUUGAAGGGAUUUAUUUUAAAAUGAUUUUUUAUGUUUCAUAAUAAUUUUUAAUUUUAUGAUGGUAGUGAUAUUCUAGCCGUUCUUUAAUAUAUCUAGUUUUCUGAGAUAAAAUUUAAUUUUAAUGGAGUUUUAAAUUUGAUUUAUUUUUAUUGUGUUUUUAAUUUUUAUUUAUAUUUUAGGGGUUAAGCUCUAAUUUUUUUUAUAAUUUUAUUUUAUGAUAUUUUUUUUAUAGGCUUGUAAUCAGCCAUUAUUUAAAUGGCGUUUUAGUUUAAUUAGUUUUUUAAUUAUUUAUUAUUUGUUUAGAUUUUUUAUUGGAUUUUGGAUUUUAAUUUUUGUUGUUCAUGGAUAAUGAUUGAAUUAGUAUAUUUAGUUUGUUAAGUAUAGUUUUUAUUUUAUUUUAAUAAAAGGAAUUUGGCAAUUUUUUAAUGUUUCCGCCUGUUUAUCAAAAACAUCUCUUAUAGUUUUUAUUUUAAGUUGGGCCUGCUCACUGAUUUUUAAAGAGCCGCGGUAUUUUGACUGUGCAAAGGUAGCAUAAUCAUUAGUGCAUUAAUUGUGUACUGGAAUGAAAGGUUUGACGAGAAAUGUUCUGUCUCUUUUUAAUUUAUAGAAUUUUACUUUUUAGUAAAAAGGCUUGAAUUUUUUUUUAGGACGAUAAGACCCUAUAGAGUUUAAUUUUAUGAGUUUUUGUAUUUUGGGAUAUCUUUAUUAUAUUUUAUUUUUUAUAAGUUUUGUUGGGGUGAUGUGAGUAAUAUGUAAACUAUUCAUUUUUGUUUUUCAUUGAUUUAUGUUUUUCUGGAUCUUGUAUUAUUGAUAAUAAGAUAAAAUUACCUUAGGGAUAACAGCGCAAUUAUCUUUAAGAGUUCAUAUUGACAAGAUAGAUUGUGACCUCGAUGUUGGAUUAAGGUUAUUGGUUGGGUGUAGAUGCUUAA